ACAGCCACUCUUUUCCGAAAUUAUAUGAACUUAUACUGUGGAAACUUGGUAAGUAGAUGUAUUCUGUGAACCGCAUUAAGAUUUUCACACAAAAAUAGAAAAAAAAAACAAUACAUUUUGGGGGUUCCCCAUACUUAGAACUGACACUCAAAAAAAUUUUUUUCAUUAAACCCAUACGUGUGGGGUAUCUAUGGAUAGGUCUUCAAAAAUGAUAUUGAGGUUUCUAAUAUCAUUUUUAGGGGUUCCGCAGCCAAAUGGCAAAAAACGGAACCCUUAUGGAUUCGUCAUGUCUGUCUGUCUGUCCGUGUAUGUCACAGCCACUUUUUUCCGAAACAAUAAGAACUAUACUGUUGAAACUUGGUAAAUAGAUGUAUUCUGUGAACCGCAUUAGGAUUUUCACACAAAAAUAGAAAAAACAAAA